AAGAAAGUGACAGAGUGGCUAUGUGGCUGGCUUGAAACCAUCAUACGGGGGUUCAACUCCUCCCUUUCUCG
rnacentral:tRNA from 1 species